AACAGUCAGCUCAUGACUAUGUCCUAAUGCCAAGGAUAUGUUCCUGGCCAGGUUCUUCUACUUCUCCAAGAAUUGCUUUUGUUUUGGUUGUGAAAAGUAUCAUUUCCGUAGCGGGAGCUCAGUUGAUAGAGUGGCAUUCCCAGUACCACAAGAACUAGGUACAGUGACAUAAGCUACAGUCCCAACACUUGGGGGUUAGAGGCAGGAGAACCAGGAGUGAAAGUUCAUCCUCAGUUACAGAGAGAGUUCCAGGCCAGCCUGGGCUACACGAUACCUGUCUUUUUGUUGUUGUUGUUGUUGUUCAAACAAUCUAUUUAUCCUUCCUUCUUUAGAUUUGCCAGAAAUAUGCACAGCAGACAAAACAAAAGCACCAGGUUGUCAUGAGCGCUCAUGGUAUUUCUCAAUACUUGCCCUGCUUACAAGUUUCUACAGAUUACCUCUCUACAAUAUGCAGAAAUUAUACUUGAAGAUUGAGUAUUUGCCUUUGAAAAUACUUUCACAAUUAACAGAAAUCCCUUUGGAUCCUGUCUGAGAGAAUUUUAAAGUCUAAGGUGAAAAUUACUUCUCAUUCCCCUGGAGUUUCAUCUCAAGAAGAUUCAAACAUCUUUGGACUAUGGAGAAGGCCUCAUAAGAAAGUGCCUCUUUCUUGAUGCUUUAUAAAGACAGCUUUAUUUCUGAUUUUUCACUACCAGAGAUAUACUACCAGGUGUUAAAGGGUUCAUUCUGCUAAAAGAAUAUCUCCAAGAGAGUUUGCAGAAAAGUAAAGCGAAGUCAGG
rnacentral:lncRNA from 1 species